GAUCGGACAGAGAUCGCAGGUCGCGGCCAUGGGAGAGCAGGGGAGGCGUGGUUUACGUGAUGGAUAUGUAGUAGGGGAGGGUGAGGAGGACGGGCAUGUGGGAAGGCACAGCAAUGCCGGAGCUAAAGCGGGCGCUUGUGUCACGGUGGUGCUUGGUGGUCAUCGUCCCUAAUCUCCAAGUGCAGAUUGGACGAUGAAGAGACGAGGAAGGAUGUUAGGAAGAGUGAAGAACAAGGCGGACCUUCUCUGGUGGAAGAACAAGAUGAACCCUCUUUUAUGGGUCCUGUUUUUGGCAAAAUAUGUGGGGACUCGAAUGACAAUGAGCAGGUGCCAUUAAUUCCUACAAUGGCCUUUUUCUUCUUCUCAGAAGCCAGAUAAUGUUCAGUUGGAAGAGAUGGAUAUGAGGUGCGUGCAAGUACAAGUGUGCAAUGACAGAAUAGGUGGCGGAAUGGCAAGGCGUCUGGUCAGAUGACCUGUGUCUGUGGUCAGUUGGUGGAUCUCGACUACAGGAACAUCACCGAUGCAAUCCAUAGUAGAUUGUUGUUCCAAUGGGAUGUAGAUAGUAGGAUCGAGACUACAAUGUCACAUGGUGGAAGCAAGAGAAAGUGAUGCGUGCUAGCCGUGAACUUAAUGGGUCGCUUGUUCCUUGCAAAUGAAUCCAUUCUGAUGAGCUUUGUAAAUAUUAGGUAAAUGUCGUGAAACUUAAGAUAAUCUCUCAAGCAUAUAAUUUAGGCAUUUCACUCCUAAGUGUAAUGAUAUAUGACACUGAACCAUUCGAUUGAAUA